rnacentral:rRNA from 1 species
ACUCCUACGGGAGGCAGCAGUGGGAAUAUUGCACAAUGGGCGCAAGCCUGAUGCAGCAACGCCGCGUGAGGGAUGAAGGCCUUCGGGUUGUAAAACCUCUUUUAGCAGGGAAGAAGCGAAAGUGACGGUACCUGCAGAAAAAGCACCGGCUAACUACGUGCCAGCAGCCGCGGUAAUACGUAGGGUGCAAGCGUUGUCCGGAAUUAUUGGGCGUAAAGGGUGCGUAGGUUGUUAUUUAAGUCAUGUGGGAAAUACCUGGGCUCAACCUGGGAAUGACGGAUGAUACUGAAUGACUAGAGUAUAGUAGAGGGUAGUGGAAUUUCCGGUGUAGCGGUGAAAUGCGUAGAGAUCGGAAGGAACACCAGUGGCGAAGGCGGCUACCUGGACUAAUACUGACACUGAGGCACGAAAGCGUGGGUAGC